CUCUAAUGGAUCUAACAAGAGUUGUUGAUCUUCAGUUUUCUCAGCUUUUUUUCUUGUUGUGAGGAUGGUAGUGACAACUUCCAAGCUCUCUUUACAUGUUGGAUCAGAAACCAGAAGUUGGUGUCUUUUUAGUACAUCUUAGUUUGUGGACUGAGAUUUGUACCCACAUAGACUGAUCUCUAUGGGUAUUGUUGAAAAUUCCCUGGCAGCUAUUCAAUUCAUACAGUGGUCUCCCAGAUCUAGUUUAUAGGAACCUGAGGCAAAGGGACAUUUAAAGAAUGGACCUCACCUGUAUGUGACAAAGGUGUAGGGAAGACAGAAACAGAAUCUUGACAUGGAAUCUGGGUCUCUGAUCACCGAUCAGACUUCCCUGGGCAUAAUUGGGUGGUGGAUUUUUGGUUACCUGAGGACAUCCCUGUGUGUCCCUGCAGAGCACAGACUGAGAUUCAAAGUUUGAGUGAGCGCUGGAACAGUGGCCCAGUGGCCCCCUGUCUGCUGUGCCUUUGCAGUGGUUGAUAUGUAUAAAGGAAGAGGCUUUCAUGGGAGAAAUUAUUUUGUACAGGUCCUGGGAGAAAUUGGAAUAUGCCACUUGUCCCCAAGCUAGGACACAGGGAUGAUGUCUCAGAGAGAGUAGGUAAAAGAUGAAAAGACUUCAUUUGUGUGGCAUGGAGGAUGGAGCGCAAGCAGACCUGUUUCUAGCACACGUGGGCACUUGUCUCAGAGGUUUGCAUUUGAGCAGGAGGCUCGUGGUGUGGGUGAAUAGUGCCUCGAUGAUGGCACGUUGGAGGCUGUGUGAAGGGGGAGGAGAAUACCUUUUCUUCUCACCGUAUCACAGAGGGGUCCUCCUUCACGUCUGAGGGUAUUUCAAGCUUUACUCCACGCACCCCCAUUUUUGGUUAACACCUGAGUCACAAGUGUUUCUAAAGACCAGUCUGGCCACAACUAGAAGGACCUACAACUAAAAAUACACUACUAUGUGCUGGAGGGAUUUGGGGAGAAAAAAAAUCAGGAAAAAAAAAAAAAAGACCAGUCUCUUUUCCCUCUGCUGACAAAUUUCUAGGGGCAUCAGUCUGUUCAUCUGUCAAGAAUGUGGAGGAACAGACAUAGAAAUUGCGUUUUCCAACUGAACUGGCUGUUAAUAAUUGGUCUGGUACCAUAAGUCACUAUGUUCUAUUUAGUUAAGGAACUUAUCAGGACAAAAAGAAGGAGACUUCUUGGCCAGCAGUCUGUUUAUCUUAUAAAUUAGUCUGAGUAAAAGCUAAAAGAAAAGGUAGGGGUACAUGCUGUUACUCAGCCUGGAGACAUCUGGUCAUAUGCCGAGCCAAACCCAUGUCUGUGUUUCGGCUCGACAAGCUUGGUGCUGUUCCUUCCAUGGUAACGGUUACAGAAUGUCCUUGGGUGGUGCCCAUGGAAGCUGGCUUGAAAAAGGAUGUGGGAGAAUGAAGAGGCCAUCAUCUAUUUCUUCAUUGUUUGGUGCAUUCUUCAUCCUCAUGGGCAUUCUCUAUGUCAGGCGGCUGCUCAGGCGCAUUCCAGUUGUGAAUGGUCCUGAAUGACUUCGGUGACCUUUCAGAGGGAUCUCGGCAGUACACCCCAAAGCACAUGAUCCUUGAAGGCUUCCCAAAUCCGUUGGUGCCAAAAAGAACCCAGCAUUUGGUGACUGUGAGUGAUGCUGAUCGUUCUGAAGAGCUUAUUGUGCUGUACCAACCGUCGUUCUGAUAAUCUGUAUAAUGUCUUAUUUCCUCUGCCUGAAUCUAAGCUCCUUGAGGCCAUGUCUCUUCCAUUUCUGUAUUUACCAUAUAGCCCAAAACUCAUGCGAAUGCACACUGAUUUCAUUUCUUUCUCUGAUAAAGUGAAAGAACCCAAAUUGUAUCUAUUGACUCAUCCUUAGCUUCACACACAUGACUUUCAAAUUUUGUUUUUGCCUAGCGCUCUCUUUUGUAGGACUGAAAACAAUGGUUUUGCUAGUACUGUGCUUAGCCGAGCAUUAAUGGCUCACACCACUGGGGGAGACACAUGAGUUGAUCAGUCCUAUAGGGAGGCAUUCUGCCUGUAAUUGUCAGGAAGGGCCCGUGCUUCUUUCAAUGAUGGCUGUGUUGCUGCUAAUAAUGAACCAGUCCUUGCUCUUGCUUGUCUUGACUCAGAGGCUGGUGUCUAUACCAUGCUCCCUCUGCCUCUGCCCCCACCAGGAUUUAUAGGCAGGCAUGAGUCAUCUGACCACAGAAGGUGGCAUUUCCAUAGCAGGACAAAGAUUAGCUGGCAUGCUUUGGGUCACCUCACGGUGCUAAUGUCCUUCCGUGGAGAUGGGUCACGUACAGCAAUUGAAGUGAACUUGAGCCCCUCCUGGGCGUUGGUCUUUCACAGGGACAGACUGUGGAUAUCUGUCAAUUCUUUUGGAUAUAUUCCCAUCUGUAAGGGCAGAUAAGGGAUAAUAAGUUACUGACCUCAAGUUCUCUUCUUUUUGAUUUCACUACUUUGCUCCUUAAAUAGGAAUUGCUCAAACUUGGCUUCUCAAGAAUUUGCCCAAUGUUACCGGCUAGGGGUGUUUCCUUGGCUUAGAACCCCUUCCCCCACGUUAUUUCUCUGGCUAGCUUCUACCCUUUCUAUAGAGCUCGGCAGAGACAGCACCUCCUUUCUGAAAACUCCCCCAAUCCCAGGCAAGGUGAAAGCCUGAAAAUUGUUUUAUUUUUUUUUAAAUUGUGGUAAAAAGCAUAUAACAUAAAUUUACCCUCUUAAUUUCAUUUUUUAUUAUUUAUUUAUUUUAAAGCUUGGCACCUGAGCUAACAUCUAUUGCUAUUUUUUUUCUUCUUCUCCCCAAAGCCCCCCACUACAGAGUUGUACAUUCCAGUUGUAGGUCCUUCUGGUUGUGCUAUGUGGGACGCCGUCUCAGCAUGACUUGAUGAGCAGUGCCAUGUCCACACUCAGGAUCUGAACUGGUGAAACCCUGGGCUGCCUAAGUGGAGCGUGCGAACUUAACCACUCAGCCACGGGGCCAGCCCCUACCCUCUCAAUUUUAAAUGUAUAGCACAGUACGACUAUCUGUGCACACUCUUGCACAGCACAUCUCCAGAACUUUUGCAUCCGGGAGACUGGAACUCUACCCAUUAAACUGUACCAACUUCCCCUUUUCCCCUCCCCCCAGCCCCUGGAGACUUCCUUUUGAUUUCCUGUUUCUGUGAAUUUGUCUACUCUAGAUACCUCAUAUAAGGGGAAUCAUGUAACAUUUGUCUUUUUGUGACUGGCUUAUUUCACUCAGCAUGAUGUCCUCCAGGUUCAUCUAUGUCAUGGCAUAUGACAGGAUUUCCUUCUUUUUUAAGGCUGAAUAAUAUUCCAUUAUAUGCCUAUAUGACAUCCCACAUCUUAUCCAUUCCUCCCUUGAUGGUCACUUGAGUUGCUUCCACCUCUUGGCUAUUGUGAAUAAUGCUGCAAUGAACAUAGGGGUGCAAACAUCUCUUCCAGAUCCUAUUUUCAAUUCUUUUGGAUAUACACCCAGGAGCGGGAUUAUUGGAUCAAACGGAAGGACCUCCAUACUGUUUUCCACAGCAUCUGCACCAUUUUACAAUCCCACCAACCCUGAAAAGGCUUGGAUUGCAGCACUACCACACUGUUUGAGAGGUCUGUUUCCUUGGCUUCCUCCUUCGCUCUUUGCUGAGCAUCCUCAGGCAUGAAUUUUGACUUUUUAUGUUCGUACUCCCAGAGCCUAGCACAGAGCCUGCUCAUAAUGGGCACUAAAACUUUUUUAGGAAGAGAGAGCAAUGUAAAACCCAAUUCAAGUCUCACUGAGGCUGACUAUUAGGAUCACCUUAAAAAUGCUCUACUUUUUCAGAAUUCCUGUUGUAGUCCGAGUUAAUACCCAUGGUUUGGCACAAAUGGCUCCCUAGUUGUUUGUGUGCCUUAUCUCUUCAGAUGGGCUGUAAGCUCAUCCAGAGCAGAAUUGAUUCCUUAAACUUGUCAUACAUCCCUUGAUGCCUCUCUCACUGUGUACAAACUACAUGAUGGAUCUCUCUGCCUUUGUCCUCAAGACACUGUGUCUUACUCGCCUUACUUUCUCUGUCAUUUGACAUAGUGCCUGGCACAUAAGUGGUGAUCAAUAAUAUUUGUAUUUAUUGAAUAAGUAGUAGAUUCUGGAGCCAUGGGGAGCUAAGCUCAAGAUCAGUUUUCCAGUGAAAUCUUGCUCAAUGUUCCCAUGAAGCUCUCUUUCUCUGUAGGUGUGAAACGCUUAUCAGCAUAGGCUACCUUGAAACGUCAAAUCUGGCAUCUCCAGAAAGCAGCCCAUAUACUCUCCUGGGGCCAGAACAGCUCUGAAACUAAAAGGAAACUAAGCAUCUCAUCUCAAAGCAACUUUUCAUGCUGUUUUAUUGUUCACCACCACCCAGAAGCCUGCGCUUCAGCAAAGUCAGUCUUGUGAUGAAGGGUAGAAGUCAGGAGUUGUGUACAAUUGGAUCUGAUUUCUUCCUGAUUCGAGUUCUGGAUUCCUUUCAUAGUCCUUUCUGGAUUUGAGUUCUGGAUUCCUUUCAGAUUCCUUCCUGGAUUUGAGUUUUAGAAGCCUUGGCUUCUUGAGGGGAUUACGCCAUAGGCAGUAGAGAGAAGCUGUUGCCUUUGAGAGAAGGAUAAUUACUCAGGAUUUGGAAAGGGACAGGAAUCUGUGGAUCUCAUGAAUGGGGGGCCCUGGUCUUCUCUCUCUGGCAACAUCCAGAAAGGUGGGGAGGCCACUGAGGGGAAUGGCUAUGUGGUGUACCAUGGAGGCUGGACCCCAGCAGCUUGAAGCUACCAUCUUGCUGCAGAUUCCUCUGCCUGAGCUUGGCGAGGAAGCCACAGGCUGCCAGACUUCAGUGGGCCAUGUGGGUGUGAACAGAUGAAUGUUUUCUUCUGUGCGCCUUUUUAUAAACUUGGAGAAGAUGUUGAACAGGAGGAAGCACCACAAUUUGACUCUUCACCAUCUUAGUGACUUGGAGUUGACUUUGAUUUAAGAAAAUAAAGUAAUGUGAUGAUUCAUAGAUGCCUAGAUUACGAGACUAAGAUUUAUUCCCAGCACGUGAGUGAGGCAUCUGGCACGGUUCCUGGAUGUUUAAGGGACUUGACAAAGAUUAUUUUCCUUCACCUUUAUUUGUAGGGAAUGGUCCACGCAUACUCUUUGAUUGUUUGAGAUACAUCCUGAAAAAAUAUUGAGUGUUGAUCAAAAUUUGGGGGAAAAAUUGACUUCUUUUAAACGUACUAGGGAAGCACCUCAUUUCUUAAAGUGAGGAAUUCUUGUUGAAGAAUUCUUGUUUAAACGGAAUUCUGCUAAUCUGGGGUUUCAGAUAGUUCACUUAACGUGAUAACAAGGAGAUUACAGAAAGCUGUCUUUUAUUCUUUUUUUUUUGAAAAGCACUGCUUAUGUGACUGUGAGUGAUAACCUGACUCAGCAGGACAAUGAGUCUGCCUUAAAGAGCAGCUCAGCUCCAAGGUCUCACCCGGGAAUUGCUGUGUCAUGGGGGUAGGCCGCAGAGGAAAUAGAGUUCUGACUUAUCACAUCACUCCAUCUUGAUAAGGGGAGCCACACUUCAAAUCACUCCUUCUGUUAUGAUGAAGCUGCAGGAAAUGAGAGACCUCCUGAUUCCAGUGCCAAGAGCUGGGCUGAGGGUCACUUGCUUUGCUAUCUGCCCUAAGUGGUUAACGGCUGACCAACCUCGGAAGUUCCUCAUGACGCAGUUUAGCGACUGGAUUGUCAUUGUGCUUUCUCUACUUCCUCAUGGGAGAGGAAUAGAGAAGAGUGCUAGUUUUAUUAUUUGUACAAAGCUGACAUACUUAGUCUUUUCCCAUACCUGUCUUCCCUUCGGGUAGGAAGCCAAAGCAAAAAACAAAAAAAAAGAAGAAUCUUGGUUUUAAAGUGGUCCUUUCUUGGCUUCUGAACUGGAGAAGUCAUCUGUGGAACUCAGAAAAAACCUAGGGUGGCUGGAAGGGCUUUUGGAUAUCCUACAUGCCAGUACUUUCUUCAUGGGUAAAAAGGAAGCUCAAGGUGAUGUGACAUUGGGACACGCCGCAGGUAACAGUAGGACAGGGCUGAGAUUGCAAUCAGUCCUCCUGAUGACUGGGCCAGCACAUGUUGUCAAAAUCAAGCAUAAGAAUGGCCUUGGAAAGCACAAAUAUUUGGUUUUUAACGACUAUUUACUCAUUAUCUUUUUUUUUUUUUUUAAAACCAGCUUAACAUCUUUAAGGAUUUAUGGACUGCUAUAGUCUUAUAAGAGUAAUAAAUAUGUUAUAUAUUGUGUUGACUCAUUUACAAAGCUAGCAGAAACCUAAUACAAAAAAGAAGAAGAAAAAAGAGAUAAAAGUCUAGACUGGUUUCCUUUAUAAAUAGAGAAGUGAAAAUUCUAAUAAAAAUAUGAUUAGAUGGGACCACAUUGCAUUAUUGCUCCAUGCAAUGAUAGUUUAGUAUUAAAGAAUGCAAUGAAGGUUUAAUAUUAAAAGUUUUAUUAAGUUAAAUAUCACAUAGAUGGGUUCAGCACAAAAAGCUCAUGACUUCCGUAAACACUGAAAUAGCGUUUAUUUACUCUUAAUUACAAGAAAAGAAAUCAGGAAAAUGAGAAGUAAGCGGUUACAGUGAGUCCUUGCCCGUGCGCGGGGAGCAGAGUGAAGUGACCCAGGUGCACGGCCAUGCCCUGUUUUCCAUUCGCUGCUGGCUGGACUCGAAUGAAAAGGAAAGUCCAGAGGAGGACAGAACCACAAGAUGGCAGGAUCCUGGGUCCCUGAACUACCUCAUGCUCACGGACAAUGAGCACUUACUUCAAUCAGUUUACUGAACAAACAGUAAAGCUGUGUUAUGUUUGAGACACUGUGCAUUUCAGUCUGGUCCACGCAUCCCCACAGCUUAGCCUACUCUGGGCUGCAUCCCGCGUCAUCCUUCAGGCCUCUGUUCCAGUAAGUAAUUCUCUCCAGGACGCUGCUACAGUUAGAUCGAUUGUAUCUAACACGCUCUUUAAUCUCUCAAAACGUUUAAUUUAAAUUGUCAUGUAUUCUUACAUGUAUGAAACUUCGUCCCUUUUCAAAUAUGCUUGGUCAUCCCUUAUAAUGUCUUGUUCCUUGUUCUUGCUAUCAAGCUUCUCAUUAAUUUCUUGAAGGAUAGGAAACAAUUUUAAAAAAAUACUCUGUAGCAGAUAAUUCCAGCGUCUAGGAAGUCCCGGCCAGCCUGAUUCUGCUCUCUGUGGCUCUUCGCUUCCUUUCAGAUGCUCUGAUCUGCUCUCUUCUGUGUUCGGAGGUCCUUUUAUUGUGGGCUGCUGCUUUUCCUGGUGACUCUACCUGUGGGUUUCUUGGAGGCCUGGGCUGAAGUGUAUCUGUCUAGAGAACGUCUGCUUCUGCCAGCUGCCCGGGAGUGCUACCAACCCUGACCGCUUUAAAUUAAAGAUCCAAAUGAGUCUUUUCAGAGGACACAGGUAAUGUGAAUUCAAAAUCUGCCUGAAAUCUGGUUUCUGUUAAUAACUUCUAAGGGCAGAUUAUUUUUUUUUCCCCCUCUCGACACAGUGCCAAGAUCAAGAUAAGCAAGUUCUGUGCCCUUUUUUUCAGCUUCUUGGUGGAAAAGCCCCUGAGGAGACGGCGUCACUGUUUGCUUUGGAUCCCACUGACUUCACAUCCAGCCUUCUCAACAUCCUUCAC
ensembl:lncRNA